ensembl:misc_RNA Y_RNA Y RNA
GGCUAAUCCGAGUAUAGUGGUGUUUACAGGUAAUUGACCACACAACCAGUGACAGAUUUGUUUGUUCCUUUUACAUUCCCGCUGUUUCACUUGACCAGCCUUAA